CGGCGUGCCUAAUACAUGCAAGUCGAGCGAGCUGAAUCAAAGAUCCCUUCGGGGUGAUUUGUUGGAUGCUAGCGGCGGAUGGGUGAGUAACACGUGGGCAAUCUGCCCUAAAGACUGGGAUACCACUUGGAAACAGGUGCUAAUACCGGGUAACAACAUGAAUCGCAUGAUUCAAGUUUGAAAGGCGGCGUAAGCUGUCACUUUAGGAUGAGCCCGCGGCGCAUUAGCUAGUUGGUGGGGUAAAGGCCUACCAAGGCAAUGAUGCGUAGCCGAGUUGAGAGACUGAUCGGCCACAUUGGGACUGAGACACGGCCCAAACUCCUACGGGAGGCAGCAGUAGGGAAUCUUCCACAAUGGACGCAAGUCUGAUGGAGCAACGCCGCGUGAGUGAAGAAGGUUUUCGGAUCGUAAAGCUCUGUUGUUGGUGAAGAAGGAUAGAGGCAGUAACUGGUCUUUAUUUGACGGUAAUCAACUAGAAAGUCACGGCUAACUACGUGCCAGCAGCCGCGGUAAUACGUAGGUGGCAAGCGUUGUCCGGAUUUAUUGGGCGUAAAGCGAGCGCAGGCGGAAUGAUAAGUCUGAUGUGAAAGCCCACGGCUCAACCGUGGAACUGCAUCGGAAACUGUCAUUCUUGAGUGCAGAAGAGGAGAGUGGAAUUCCAUGUGUAGCGGUGGAAUGCGUAGAUAUAUGGAAGAACACCAGUGGCGAAGGCGGCUCUCUGGUCUGCAACUGACGCUGAGGCUCGAAAGCAUGGGUAGCGAACAGGAUUAGAUACCCUGGUAGUCCAUGCCGUAAACGAUGAGCGCUAGGUGUUGGGGACUUUCCGGUCCUCAGUGCCGCAGCAAACGCAUUAAGCGCUCCGCCUG
rnacentral:rRNA from 1 species